AUUUGUUUUGUUUAUUUAAUUCACAGCGAAAGCUUUUUAAAAAAGUAAUGUCUCCUGGGGAAAUGGCAGCUACAUCAUCAGAAUUUGAAAAAGAGGAAAAGAGGGGAUACCUUAGAAAAAGUCCAUAGGAAAAUGAGAGAAGUUGAGCCAUCUGGCUGCUGGCACCCUACUCCCUCCUCCUCCAAGCCUCUUCCCCUUCACCAGUAAGAACAUUCCCAACUCAGGACCCAGAGUAGCAAGACAGGAGCUGCUUGUCUUGCAGUACCAACCAUCGCUUUCUCUGCAGUGCUCUUGGAACCCAGCCACUAUGCUGCAAAGAAACGCAGACCACAGGCAGAAGCCUCAUAUAAGAGUUCUGGCUGAGGGUCUCGACUGAGGGCUCAGUUGAUGGCCACUAUCAACUACCAGAUACAUGAAUGAAGAAGGUUUUGAGAUGAUUCCAACUCCAGCCCUCAUCUGGCAAGUAAAUGAGAGACCCUGAGUGAAACCUGCCAACCUGAGCAAAG
rnacentral:lncRNA from 1 species